GGAGCCAGCCAUGAACUGACUGACUGGUAUCAAUUUCCUGUACGGCUCAACAUAAAUGAAUUGGUGGUGUUUGAUCAGUUUUUAUACACUUCCUCUAGGUCUAUAGGAACCCAGACUUUUUAAUGCAGAUGUAAAUAUGGAGCAAUUGUCACACCUCUGGCCCUUGUUAUUGGGAAGGGGAACUGUUAUCUUGCCAAGCCUGGUUGUAAUUUAUAACCAUUUUCUAUUUGUGCAAACUCUGUAAAUAAUGUCUAAAAAUGUAUUAUUUUGUACAAGAUACACUGGAGAACAAAGGGAACUCAAGGUUUUUCCACACACUUCACCUGUAAGUAGAAGUUAAUCCUGUAGAGGGCAGCUGCCAAUCCUGGCUCUUCUUCCAGGAGUUUCAGGGAUUCCUGCAUAUUGGACAGCUGGCUGUAUGGGAUAGAUUGUCAUUUGGGGAUUUUUUGCUGUACACAUUUAAAAAAAAAAGUAACUCAGUGAAUACCUUGCAGUGGUGUGUUUGAUUCUUUUUUAGACUAGCUUCAGCUUUGUGCAAUUUAAGAAUAAAUGACAU
rnacentral:lncRNA from 1 species